GAUGAACGCUGGCGGCGUGCCUAAUACAUGCAAGUCGAGCGAACAGACGAGGAGCUUGCUCCUCUGACGUUAGCGGCGGACGGGUGAGUAACACGUGGAUACCCUACCUAUAAGACUGGGAUAACUUCGGGAAACCGGAGCUAAUCCCGGAUAAUAUAUUGAACCGCAUGGUUAAAUAGUAAAAUACGGUUUUGCUGUCACUUAUCGAUGGAUCCGCGCCGCUUUAGCUAGUUGGUAAGGUAACGGCUUACCAAGGCGACGAUGCGUAGCCGACCUGAGAGGGUGAUCGGCCACACUGGAACUGAGACACGGUCCAGACUCCUACGGGAGGCAGCAGUAGGGAAUCUUCCGCAAUGGGCGAAAGCCUGACGGAGCAACGCCGCGUGAGUGAUGAAGGUCUUCGGAUCGUAAAACUCUGUUAUUAGGGAAGAACAAAUGUGUAAGUAACUAUGCACGUCUUGACGGUACCUAAUCAGAAAGCCACGGCUAACUACGUG
rnacentral:rRNA from 1 species